rnacentral:rRNA from 1 species
UACGGAGGGGGCAAGCGUUAUUCGGAAUCAUUGGGCGUAAAGGGCGCGUAGGCGGCUAGAUGUGUCAAAGGUGAAAUCCCUCGGCUCAACUGGGCGGGGUCAGCGGAUACGGUGUGGCUGGAGCAAGCUAGGGGGCAAUGGAAUUCCCGGUGUAGUGGUGGAAUGCGUAGAUAUCUGGAGGAACACCGGUGGCGAAGGCGGCAUCCUGGACCGACACUGACGCUGAGGAGCGAAAGCCAGGGGAGCAAACGGG